rnacentral:rRNA from 1 species
UACAGAGGGGGCAAGCGUUGUUCGGAAUUACUGGGCGUAAAGAGCGUGUAGGCGGCCGCACAGGUCCGUUGUGAAAACUGGAGGCUUAACCUCCAGACGUCGACGGAAACCGUGUGGCUAGAGUCCGGAAGAGGAGAGUGGAAUUCCUGGUGUAGCGGUGAAAUGCGCAGAUAUCAGGAAGAACACCAAUGGCGAAGGCAGCUCUCUGGGACGGUACUGACGCUGAGACGCGAAAGCGUGGGGAGCGAACAGG